rnacentral:rRNA from 1 species
AACUUGAGAGUUUGAUCCUGGCUCAGAACGAACGCUGGCGGCAGGCUUAACACAUGCAAGUCGAGCGCCCCGCAAGGGGAGCGGCAGACGGGUGAGUAACGCGUGGGAAUCUACCCAUCUCUACGGAACAACUCCGGGAAACUGGAGCUAAUACCGUAUACGUCCUUUUGGAGAAAGAUUUAUCGGAGAUGGAUGAGCCCGCGUUGGAUUAGCUAGUUGGUGGGGUAAUGGCCUACCAAGGCGACGAUCCAUAGCUGGUCUGAGAGGAUGAUCAGCCACACUGGGACUGAGACACGGCCCAGACUCCUACGGGAGGCAGCAGUGGGGAAUAUUGGACAAUGGGCGAAAGCCUG